rnacentral:lncRNA from 1 species
AGGCUUUUGAGUACGUGGCCCUCUAUGUGAAACAACCGUUGUACUCUAAGGCUGCGUUUGGUUCGGGUAUAAGUAAGAAUUGCUAGUUCUAGGAAUAGGUACAAGUUCAAGUAUAAGCAGGAACUAGACCAAUUUUGCGUUUGGAUGAAAAUUAGGUUGUUCCUAGGAAUAAGGUAAAUAGUGUUUGGAUGAUUAGAUUGGAACAAGAGGAAUAAACGUUAUAAUUUGAAAUUAAAAUUAUAUUAUGUAAUUAAUUAACAUAAAAAUAUUACUUAAAAAUAAAUAAAAAAUUAAUUAUUAAUAAUUAAUUAUAAAUAAUAAUUAAUAAUAAUAAUUAAUUAUAAAUAAUAAAUUAUUAAUAACGAUUAUCUAAUUAAUAAUAAUUAUUAUUAUUACUAAUUAUUAAUAAAUAAUAAUAAUUAUUAAUUAUUCUUAUUAAUUAAUUAUAAAUAAUAAAUUAUUAAUAAUAUUGAUUAUCUAAUUAUUAAUAAUAAUUAAUAUUAAUAUUUAUUAAUAAAUAAUAAUNUAACUUAUUUUAAAUUGUAAAUUAUGUUGUAUUUAUAAACAUAACUUUUAUUAUUUAUUUAAAUUAAAGGCUUCUAUUUUUAAAAUUAAAUUCAAGUGCUAAUUUGAUAAGUAAUAAACCUUUAUUUAAACUUUAUAAUUGUGUACAUUAAAUUCAAAUUUAAUUUUAAUUUAAAUUUUUAGAACGAAAAAAUUUAUGAUUAAAUGAAUAGUAUAUUUUAAUUCAAACUGUAAAUUUGAUAUUAAAACGACACGAAAUUUUAAAUAUAUUAACUUAUUUUAAAUUAUAAAUUAUGUUGUAUUUAUAAACAUAAUUUUUAUCAUUUAUUUAAAUUAAAGCCUUCUAUUUUUAAAAUUAAAUUCAAAUUAUUCAUUCGAUAGUAAAAACAACAUUAAAGUUUAAAAAUAUUGAUUAAAAUUAAAUUUUAAAUUUAGAUUUAAAUAUAGAUUGGACAUGAAUUUCUCUCUCAACAAAGAAAAAAAAGGGAAAAAUAGCUUCGAGGGAAAUAUCUGUGGGUGAAAAGUUUCUAAAAAUAAAAUGGGAUAUCUUACCAAAUUACUAGAAGAGCAUUAUGGGAACGAAAAUAAAAAUUUACAAAAAAAACCCUUCAUACUAAUUUUACAUAUGAGAAAAUAAUUUAUCCUUGGUAGGAGGAUGAUUGGUACCUAUGGUAACAAAAGCCAGUCACCCUCUUAACUAAAUGACAUCUCCACCAUUCAUUUUAAAAAAUUUAAGGACCGAAACUUUUUUUGAUGUAUAGGAGCAUUGCUUUUAAAAUUAAUGGUUAGCGUCAACGAUCCGGCAGCCGGUACAUUACACA